rnacentral:rRNA from 1 species
GUUGUGAAAUGUUGGGUUAAGUCCCGCAACGAGCGCAACCCUUAUCCUUUGUUGCCAGCGAUUCGGUCGGGAACUCAAAGGAGACUGCCAGUGAUAAACUGGAGGAAGGUGGGGAUGACGUCAAGUCAUCAUGGCCCUUACGACCAGGGCUACACACGUGCUACAAUGGCGCAUACAAAGAGAAGCGACCUCGCGAGAGCAAGCGGACCUCAUAAAGUGCGUCGUAGUCCGGAUUGGAGUCUGCAACUCGACUCCAUGAAGUCGGAAUCGCUAGUAAUCGUGGAUCAGAAUGCCACGGUGAAUACGUUCCCGGGCCUUGUACACACCGCCCGUCACACCAUGGGAGUGGGUUGCAAAAGAAGUAGGUAGCUUAACCUUCGGGAGGGCGCUUACCACUUUGUGAUUCAUGACUGGGGUGAAGUCGUAACAAGGUAACCGUAGGGGAACCUGC